GGAGAGAUGGCAGAGUGGUCGAAUGCGCCGGACUCGAAAUCCGGUAUAGCCUCGCGGCUAUCCAGGGUUCGAAUCCCUGUCUCUCCGCCA
rnacentral:tRNA from 1 species